AUGGCCAAAUGCACCAAAAAUGUUAGGAUCAUGGGUAAAUACAGAAACCAGCAUGGUACCUCGCUCUGGAAAGUGAUGAAGCACACAAAUCAGCGAGCAUAUCAAGUAUACUUGCUCCUUUUGUGGCAAAACCAAGAUGAAGAGAUGGAUUGUGGGAGUCUGGCACUGUGGUUCCUGCAUGAAAACAGUGGCUGGUGGUGCCUGGACCUACAACACCACUUCUGUGGUCACAGCCAAGUCUGCCAUCAGAAGACCAAAGGAAUUGAAAGAGCAGUAA